ACGCCUGUAGCUCAACUAGGCAGAGCGGCGGUCUCCAAAACCGCAGGUUGGGGGUUCGAUUCCCUCCGGGCGUGCCA
rnacentral:tRNA from 1 species